CCCUUAGACGUUCUGGGCCGCACGCGCGCUACACUGACGAAGGCAACGAGCUUUCCUUUACCGAAAGGUACGGGUAAUCUUUUGAAACUUCGUCGUGCUGGGGAUAGAUCCUUGCAAUUAUUGAUCUUGAACGAGGAAUUCCUAGUAAGCGCAAGUCAUCAACUUGCGUUGAUUACGUCCCUGCCCUUUGUACACACCGCCCGUCGCUACUGCCAACUGAGAUGGGUCCUGAAUUGUUAGGAACGCCCGUCAAGGGGCCUACCCGGUCCCUAGUGCGGUGACGAGAAUAACUGUAAAUGGCAUAUCUUGUAGGGAGUAAAAGUCGUAACA
rnacentral:rRNA from 1 species